GACAGAGGCCUCAAGCGUUAGGCGGAAUCACUGGGCUUAAAGCGUGUGUAGGCGGACGCCUAAGUACCUUGUGAAAUCCCACGGCUCACCCGUGGAACUGCUUGGCAUACUGCGAGCCUUGAGCCACUUAGGGGCAACCGGAACAAACGGUGGAGCGGUGAAAUGCGUAGAUAUCGUUUGGAACGCCAAUGGUGAAAACAGGUUGCUGGGAGUGCGCUGACGCUGAGACACGAAAGCCAGGGGAGCGAACGGG
rnacentral:rRNA from 1 species